rnacentral:rRNA from 1 species
AUUGAACGCUGGCGGCAUGCUUUACACAUGCAAGUCGAACGGUAACAGGCCGCAAGGUGCUGACGAGUGGCGAACGGGUGAGUAAUGCAUCGGAACGUGCCCAGUCGGGGGGGAUAACGCAGCGAAAGCUGUGCUAAUACCGCAUACGAUCUAUGGAUGAAAGCGGGGGACCGUAAGGCCUCGCACGAUUGCAGCGGCCGAUGUCAGAUUAGGUAGUUGGUGGGGUAAAGGCUCACCAAGCCAACGAUCUGUAGCUGGUCUGAGAGGACGACCAGCCACACUGGGACUGAGACACGGCCCAGACUCCUAUGGGAGGCAGCAGUGGGGAAUUUUGGACAAUGGGCGCAAGCCUGAUCCAGCAAUGCCGCGUGCAGGAAGAAGGCCUUCGGGUUGUAAACUGCUUUUGUACGGAACGAAAAGGUUUGGGUUAAUACCCUGGGCCGAUGACGGUACCGUAAGAAUAAGCACCGGCUAACUACGUGCCAGCAGCCGCCGUAAAAC